UUAGUUAAAGCCAAAACAGAGGCAUUUUAUUGUUAAUAAAAAAAAUGAUUAUAGUGAUCUAACUAAU
rnacentral:tRNA from 1 species